rnacentral:lncRNA from 1 species
GGAGUGAACCCCCGCUUUGACCCUGCCUCAUCCAGCUACUCCUUGGCUAUGCACAGCCUCCCCCAUGUCAUCAACCCAGUGGAGUCCCGGCUGGGUGAGUUCCUAAGCAGGCCUUCUGUCAGGCCAGCGUGGGGUUGGAGGUGGCUGUGUGCUUUGGAAAGGUUUAGUGUCUGUCGGCCUGUCUGUCUGUCUGUCUGUCUCCCUUCCCCCUGCCCCUCUCCCUCUUCCCCUUUCAUCUCUCCCUUUGGUUGUUCACGGCAAAUCUCAUGCACCUCAGAAAGGUGGGAACUCUAUUUUGUUUUGGAUUUUUGAGACAGGAUCUCGUGAAUCCUAGGCUAGCCUCAAGCUUUCUGUGUAGCCAAGGAUGGCCUUGAAUGCCUGAUCCUCUGGUGCUACCUCCCCUGUGCUGGGAUUAUAGUCAUGUGCCCACCACACCCAGCUU